ACAGCAGUCGCCGCGGUAAUACAGAGGGUGCAAGCGUUAAUCGGAAUUACUGGGCGUAAAGCGUGCGUAGGUGGUGGUUUAAGUCCGUUGUGAAAGCCCUGGGCUCAACCUGGGAAUUGCAGUGGAUACUGGGUCACUAGAGUGUGGUAGAGGAUAGUGGAAUUUCCGGUGUAGCAGAGAAAUGCGUAGAGAUCGGAAGGAACAUCAGUGGCGAAGGCGACCACCUGGACUGAUACUGACACUGAGGUGCGAAAGCGUGGGGAGCAAACAGGAUUAGAUACCCGCGUAGUCCCUGUCUCUUAUAC
rnacentral:rRNA from 1 species